GACGAACGCUGGCGGCGUGCUUAACACAUGCAAGUCGAACGGAAAGGCCCUGCUUUUGUGGGGUGCUCGAGUGGCGAACGGGUGAGUAACACGUGAGUAACCUGCCCUUGACUUUGGGAUAACUUCAGGAAACUGGGGCUAAUACCGGAUAGGAGCUCCUGCUGCAUGGUGGGGGUUGGAAAGUUUCGGCGGUUGGGGAUGGACUCGCGGCUUAUCAGCUUGUUGGGGGGGUAGUGGCUUACCAAGCCUUUGACGGGUAGCCCGCCUGGGAGGGUGACCGGCCACCUUGGGACUGCGAUACGGCGCAGACUCCUACGGGAGGCAGCAGUGGGGAAUAUUGCACAAUGGGCGGAAGCCUGAUGCAGCAACGCCGCGUGCGGGAUGACGGCCUUCGGGUUGUAAACCGCUUUCGCCUGUGACGAAGCGUGAGUGACGGUAAUGGGUAAAGAAGCACCGGCUAACUACGUG
rnacentral:rRNA from 1 species